rnacentral:tRNA from 1 species
AGGUGUUUGGCUGAUAAAAGCAUAAAUUUUGAAAAUUUAGUAUAAUUUUUUAACAUCUU